rnacentral:rRNA from 1 species
CCUACGGGAGGCUGCAGUGGGGAAUAUUGGACAAUGGGCGAAAGCCUGAUCCAGCCAUGCCGCGUGUGUGAAGAAGGCCUUCGGGUUGUAAAGCACUUUCAGUGGGGAAGAAAGCCUUGGGGCUAAUACCCUCGAGGAAGGACAUCACCCACAGAAGAAGCACCGGCUAACUCCGUGCCAGCAGCCGCGGUAAUACGGAGGGUGCGAGCGUUAAUCGGAAUUACUGGGCGUAAAGCGCGCGUAGGCGGUCUGAUAAGCCGGUUGUGAAAGCCCCGGGCUCAACCUGGGAACGGCAUCCGGAACUGUCAGGCUAGAGUGCAGGAGAGGAAGGUAGAAGUACCGGUGUAGCGGUGAAAUGCGUAGAGAUCGGGAGGAAUACCAGUGGCGAAGGCGGCCUUCUGGACUGACACUGACGCUGAGGUGCGAAAGCGUGGGUAGCAAACAGGAUUAGAUACCCCAGUAGUCC